GUUUGCUUAUAGGACUGCCUGAUUCCAUGCCCACAAGAUGGCCUGGGAUGAGGGGAAAGGAUAAUAAUGAGUGAAAGGAGAAAAAAUGACCAGAAAUGCCAUUCUUCUCUUGGGACAGGAAUAGAACCUUGAAAGGCACUUCCGAGGAGAUAUUUCAAAGAAGACACAUCUGAGUGAGCACCAACCUCUCCAUGGAUUCCUCCUGCCUUACAAAUUGCAUCAGACUGUUCUGUCCUGAAUAAUAACUGAACAACAGCAACGAUGGCUUCGUCAUAUGCUGACAGCUACCAGAAGAAAGGGACAACGUGAGUCAUGGUGACAUUGUUAAGGUCCUCCAGUGUUUCCAGUGUCAGAUGUCUCCUUUUUAGUGUGAGUGAUGAAGUCUUGGGAC